rnacentral:lncRNA from 1 species
CCAAUAGAUCCGCUGUCGAUGUAAUCAUCACAUGCUUUUGUUCUAUUAUUGGAUCAGGAAAACGAAACCGUAAGAGUGGUAACACAUCGGUGUCGGAAAGUUGACGAAGGUUUUGAAAAAUCAACUCUGUAAGACGUACUAACAAGACAUGAAGGUCUACAUUUGGUUUCCUAACCAGACCGAUGUCGGGCACGCUUCUUUAGAACUCUCCAAAGGAAGGUACCUAAGCUGGUGGUCAGACGAUCGGAAAAUGCUGAAAAUUUCCGAUGACGUCGAGGCAAUGGGACGAGAUCCUAACAAAACAUUCGACCUUGAUGACCUCCAUUGCGAUGAAGACGAGAUCGAAGACGGGUGGAACGGAGCGAGUUAUUUCGCGCUUGGUACCAACUGCUGCUGGGUGGUCUACCAAGCUUUACGACAUGGCGGAGCUCCCUACAGUCCUAAUCCGAUCUGGACCCCGUCUAUUCUCUACCGUUAUUUGAUAAGAGUGACAGAGGGGUUUUGGGCUAUGCUUGGUGCAUUUUCCGAAACAUCGCUCUUUUGAAACGUUUCCGAAAGACAACGAUGUCAGGUCAAGGGGUAAUCUAUAGACUGAAAGCGUAAUGACACAAAGAAUGAACUCGAAAAAUAAAGCUUUGUUCAAUAAA